AUCCAAAACGACACCGUGGGGCUUCAAGUGCUACACAAAGACAAAUGGGUCAAUAUCCACCUCAUCCCCAAUUCAUUUCUAGCCAACAUUGGGGACCAUAUUGAGGUACAACUCCCAAAUUCUGCUUUUUUAUCUUCAAGUUUUCGAUUUACUCACACUACUUUAACUUGAUUUAAUUUCAUCUUUCUAUUUUUAUAAUAUAAUUAGUUUAUUAAGUUGUUUAACACCAUCAACUAUUUCGUUUAAAUGUUGAUGUGAAAAUUUCUCACAUCAUUAUGUUAAUAUAGAUUUAUAUAGUAGAAGGACCAAAUCCAUAAUUUGACCUUUCGUUGAAGGAUCAAAUCCAUAAUUUGACCUUUCAUUUUAUAAUUGGUUUUUAUUUUUUUCCAAAAUUGAUCUGAAGUAAAUCGUUAUUUCUGCUAAUUGAUCAGAUAUGAUUUUAAAUUUAUGCAAGAUUCUGAGCAACAGGAAGUAUAAAAGUGUUCUCCAUCGAGCUGUGGUAAAUGAUAGAGAUGUAAGGAUAUCCAUAGCACUGACGCAUGGACCGGCCUCAGACGCCACUGUGAAUCCUACUCCAAUGUUGCUGGAAGAUGGUCAGAACCCAUUGGCAUACCGAGUAAUGAAAUAUAAAGAAUACUUGGAGCUUCAACAAAGCAACAAGCUCGAUGGGAAAUCUUACUUGGAACAUAUACGAAAUAAAGGGAUUUAAUUACUAGUGUAAUAUUUUAUGUUCGAGUCAUUUGGGAUUUAAAACUUUGGCUUUUGAAUUAGAUAGUUACAAUCACUAUAAGUAGAGAAAAAAAAAUGAAUCAAGUUUGAAUAAACGAUCUUUAUUCAUGUUUACUUUGUUCCUUUUUAAAGUGGUUUAUGUUUGGUUUCUCUUCUAUAAUGGAUUGUAUUUGAUUCUUAACCAAAAGCUAAUUGUAAUAACGAAGUAUUUUUUUGACUCAAUUCAAUUUGAUUGAACGCUCACUUUUAUAUUGAUGUGCUAAAAAGAGAAACUAAAUUCUUAAAUUUUAAUGAUACAAUGUUUUUAACACAUUUAACCUAAAGCUAUUAAUGCAUUAGGUGCCAAGUUUUUUUUUUAAAUUUUAUCACGCAUUUUAAAUAGGAAUAGUUUUCAUGCACCACCAGUGAAUAAUAACAUAAUAUGUCAUCAUUGGGCAAAAUAAAAAAAUAAUAGACUUAUAAAUAAAUAAUAACUUUAUUUAAGCAUAAUUAAAUAUUAAUUAUAAGUUUUUUUAAGUUUCGAAUUUCAGGUGUAGAGUUUAUUGUAUAGGAUUUAGGUUUAUUUCAAAUUUCGAGUCUAAGCUUUGAAUUUAGGAUUUAUUGCUUAUAUCAAGUUUAGAUUUUAUGUUUAAAUAAAAUUAUUAAUGUUUAUUUUGUAAGUCAUUCAUUAUAUUUUUUCAUCAUUGAUGAGGUGUUGUGUUAUUAUUUAAUGACGAUGCAUGAGAUUCAUGAAUUGUUAAUUUAUCAAAUGUUCCUCCUUUUAAUCUAGAAAGCAUUCUACACCAUGUGGAGUUGCUUUGGAAACAGAUGGCUAGAUACGACUAGCUUGAUGAUCUAAGGGAGUGGGUCUACGAUGAUGAGACCUUUUAGAUGAAAGCUAUUAAUUUUUUCCAGUGGCUUUAUGAGGAGCAUUCGAAACCCAUGUUAGGGCUUCCUCCCUGCUUUUUUCCUAAGUUGUGUUUGGAAGACGUACAGUUUUUGGGUAUGACAAUCAUUGAUGAGGAGGUUAAGGUUGCUUUAUUUGACAUGGCACCCUUAAAAGCCCCAGAGAGUGAUGGUUUUCAUGCAUUAUUUUUCCAAAGUUAAUUGGAGCAUGUUGGUAGUUCAGUUUGUAGGUGGGUUAAAGAAUCUUCGACGAAGAAAUCAUUUAUUCAAAUCUAAACAACACUUUAGUUGUUCUUCUUCCUAAAGUUCAUGCUCCUAAAUUUUUUCCCAAUUCAGGCCUAUCAGCUUGUGUUCGGUCUUAUAUAAAUUGAUUAUGAAUGUCAUUGCUAAUUGCUUUAAAUCAGUUUUUCCAAGAAUUAUUGCGUAGGAACAAGUGUGUUUCAUAGCAGGGCAUAAUACUACCAAUAAUGUCAUUGUUACACAAGAAGUCAUCCAUUUUAUGAGGAGCAAACAAAAGAAUAGGACAUGGAUAGUUGUGAAGAUCUAUUUGGAGAAGGCGUAUGAUCUAGUUUGCUGGGAAUUUAUUGAGGUUUCUCUUAAAGCCACAUGUAUCCCUGAUCACUUCAAUAAUAUUAUUAUGUUUGCUAUCUCUAAUUCUUCUAUGCAGGUUUUUUGUAAUGGUGUUCCAUCCCCGAAAUUUAAACUGGCCAGAGGCAUUCGUCAAGGGUACCCCUUAUACCCGUAUUUAUUUGUAUUGUGUAUGGAGUGGCUAGGACACAACAUGCAUUUGACAAUUCAGAGGGGUUAGUGGUAGCCUAUCUUUUUACAGAUGACCUUAUCAUUUUUGGGAAAGCAGGCGAAAAUCCAGAUAGAUUGUUGGGGGGAAUUCUUAAAGAGUUCUGCAAUUUCUCCAAACAUCGGGUAAAUGCAAGGAAAUCUAACAUCUUCUUGUCUAAAUGUGUUAGUGAAGAGAUAGGAAAGAUCCUUAGUGACAUACUAGGGUUCAAUAGGGUGCAAAAUCUUGAAUCUUAUUUGGGGAUUCCUAUUCUUUAUGAGAGAGUAACUAAUAGUACUUUGAGAUUCGUUGUUGAUCAAGUUCGCACUAAAUUGCAAACCUAGGAAGCUAGGAAACUAUCCUUAGUAGGUAGGGCCUCUUUUGCUCAGUCUAUCUUAUUAACGAUACCAAGUUACUUCAUGCAAUCAAUGAGGAUCCCUAAAGGCCUAUGUGACGAGAUUGAGCAAUUGGUUAGACAAUUCAUUUAGGGGGCUUCUAAAAUGGAAAGGAAGAUAACGCUUGUAAGUUGGGAGUUUAUUUGUCAAAAAAGAUCCCAUGAGGGCUUUGGGUUCAGGAGUUUGGAGGACCAAAAUACUUCUUUCUUGAUGAAACUUGGUUUCAAUCUUAUUUCCAAUUUGAAUGCUUCAUGGAUUUAGGUGCUUAGAUCAAAGUAUAAAGUACCUACUGGUCUACUUGAGUCCUUAACUCAAGGGUGUCACUCUUUUCUUUGGAGAAGUCCUUCUAAAGUGUGGCCACUGGUUAGAGAAUCUUUUAUGGUCAAUUGGGGAUGGUAAUUUAAUCAAUUGUUGGAGUGACCCUUGGAUUCCAAAUUUUGGCCAUUUGUUAAAUCAUAUUCCAUCUCGUUCGAAUAUGGAAAGGGAGAACGUGUUAAGUAGUAUGGUUCUGGAGGAUAGGCAUAAUAAUCUUGAUUUAUUUCACCUAUGGGUGUCAGAGGAUGUGGUUAGGCUUAUUAUAGGUAUUCCUCCACCUCAGUCGGAAGUCGGUCUUGAUAGGAUCACUUGGGCAAGAUCCUCUAAUGGUUCUUUUUCAAUCAAAAGUGCAUUUUGGAAAAUUCGGGAAGAGACUUGGAAUCCCAAGAAUGACAUAUGGAAAUUACUUUUGAAGUUUCAAGGCCUUCAACGAGUUAGAUAUUUUAUUUGGCUCGUUCUUAAAGAACAUCUUCUAACUAAUUCUGAACGUGCGAAAAGAGGACUUGGGUUAAAUGGUUAUUGUGGUUUAUGCGACAAUGAAUGUGAAGACAUUUUACAUGCCAUUGUGACUGUCCUGCUAUUAAGGAUUCUUGGAAAUAGAUUAUUCCAGUGACCAAAUAUAAUUAUUUUUUUUCCAGGUGUUUUGCAGGAUUGGAUUUCAGCUAACCUUCAGAUCCAUCUCAAUUUGCAUCUGAACGGGAUAGACUGGCAAUGCUUCUUUGGUAUGGUAGCUUGGCGGAUUUGGAAAAGCUAGAACCUCUUUAUCUUCCAAGGCAUAACGUGAAGUACUGAGGAAUUGAUUAAAACCUCCUUCAGUUGGGCUAAACAAUACACAUCAGCUCUUAAGGUUAUCUCCAACCGUCAAGUUCCAAUAGUAGUUGUGCCAAAUAUUGGGAAUUGGAUUCAAUUGAAUUUAAUUGAAUUUUGACGAAGCAGUAAAAGAGGAAUCCAAGUUUGCCAUGAUCGGGGGAGUUCUUCAUGACAGAUAGGGCAGCUGGAUUAUUAGGUAUAACAGGGGUGUGGACAUAUGUUCAGUUCUCGACUCUGAGUUAUGGGGCAUUUUGGAAGGAUUGACAAUAGCUAUGGAUAAGGGUUUCGACAGGGUGUUAAUCGAUUCCGACAGUCAUGAGGCUGUACAAGUCAUUUAAGGGAGUACUACAAAGGUGUCAAAUUCAAAUUUGGUUAGAAUAAUUAAUCUUCGGGUGGCUAAAUUGUCUCAAUGGUCGAUUCAACAUAUUUUCAGAGAUUUCAAUAAAGGAGAAAAUAGUCUAACUAAAAUGGAUGUUGAUAAUAAGAGUAGUACCCAAUUUUUUGAAAUGCCUCCAAGGAGGGUUAGUUAUAUCUAUGAUUAAUUUUUUACAAUAAAAUUUCAUUCAAAAAAAAUCAUCCUUUUAAAUAUGCAUCAUGUUAGAUUUGAAUUGAUGCUUAAAUGCUCAAAUCUAAUAUAUCUAUUCUAUAACAAGAUUUUCUUGCACAUAUGAUUAGUUUUAGUUCGAGAGUUAGUUCUCCAAUUGCCAUGUGGGACCAAUGAAAUGUUGACAACUGUUAGUUUAGUAAUGUUUCUAAAAAACAUUUUUGGAAUAAAAAAAGUUUUUGAGAAACGCUUAAAUUUUCUACUUUUGCGUUUGAUUAGUUUUUAGCAUUUGAAAAAUAUUUUUUUUUCUCUCAAAAAAGUACUUUUUAAUAAUAUUGCUAAAUUAACCCUAUGUAAUUAAUGAUUGUUUUAUACAUUAUUAGUAUUUUAUUAAGAAAUUCCAAAAUAUGUCAAUGAUCUAAUUUGCGAAAAUAUGCAAGCAAGAAUUAUGAAAUCACAGUAAAUAUGUUUUAAAAAUUAGAAUCCAAUUUACGAAAUAAUUGCAAUUGGAACUUUAUUUUCCACAAAUUAAAACCAAAUGUGAAUUUUUAAAAAUAAAUUUGACUAUUGAAUUCAAUUAAAUGCAUAAUUGAGAGAUAUAACGAAUGGAAUUUAAUUUAUAGUGUCAAUUAAAUGCAUGAUGUCUUUGGUAUAUAAUUAAAUGCAUAAUUGAGAGAUAUAACGAAUGGAAACAAAUAAAAAUUAUUUUGAUAUCAAUUACCAAAAAUUUGGGGAUUUACUAUUAAGAUUAUCCCUUUUUUUUCGAUAUAUUUUUUGCAGAAGUUUUAAUUUAGUGUUUAUGUUUGUGGAGUGUAACUUGCAUUUUGAAUGAAAUAGGAUCAGUGACAUUAUGAGAAAGAGCCGACAUCUCGACGACGCGAUACGUAAUGUCACGACAUGGCGAUGUGUUCUCUACUUAAUCGGAUUUAUUCUCCUAGUUAAAAUCUGAUUAUUUUUUCUAGUCAAAUUCUGAUUUAUCCAAGAUGUUUUAGUUAUAUUUGACCUCCGAAUUGGCUUAUAAAAGGGCCUUAGUAACUCUAGAAAGGUUGAUGAAAAAUACAACAUAAUACAAUUAAGAAAUAGCUUUAACAAAGCUUUAAGUAAAAUUUGUGUUUUAGUCGAAGGGCUUUGUAUUUGGGGUUUAAGGUUUGUUUUUAUUAUCUCCAUCUUAUACUUUUUACAUUUCUUUCUUAUUAGUGAAAUCUCUUUUGCAUGUGGUUUUUUAUCCUCUUAAUUGAGGGUUUUCCAUGUAAAAUUUGUGUGUAUGAUUUUCUCUACAUUUUCUAUUUUAUUAUUUAUACGAGUCAAUCUCCAACAAUGUAUUAUGAAAAACCAAAAAAAUAAAAAUAAAAUUUGAAAGCCAUAAAACAUAACUUAAAACAUUCGAUGACAACGAUACCUUCGGUUUUAGCUGUACUCAACGUGAGAUGCACGGAUGGGGUCAAAUUUAUUAAAGUCAACUUAACUAAGCUAUCAAUUUUCAAAUUUAAAAGAUCAGUGGACUUGUGUCAAAUUUUUGGAUAGAUUCAAGCAUUUUUGGAUUAAAAUGUUAGCAUAGCAUUUGAAGAGCAAUUUUUUAGUUUCGAAACACACUUUGAAUCACUUAAUUUUGAAAUUAGGAGUUCAAAUUAGGAUUGUUUUAGUAAAGAUUGUGUGAACAAAAUUUUUGAAAGAGAUUAUUAUUGGAAAUUAUGAGUUUCGAAUUUUAAUUCGAGUUUAAAUUAUAUUGGGUUCAAUUUGUUAAUUUUUUAUUUUUUUAUAUAUAAGACUAAUAUUAGUUUAUUAGAUUUUGUUAUUUUAUUUAUUUAUUUCAAAUUUUAUUAAUUUAUUGGUUUAAAUUCAUUGGCUUAAUUUUUAUUAUUUUAUCAUAUAAUACAACAUUAAAUUAAAUAUUUCAAAUGUAUUUAUUUUUUUUCUUUUUCAUUUCAAUAAAUUCAGAAUUAAUUAUAAACUAUAUCUUUCCGUCAAUAAGAAAAUCGAUGGUUGGCAAAUAAAUUUUUUGAAUAAAUUAUAGGUUUUGAUUAUAUUUGACUUUUUACACAAUGCUUAGAAUUACGUAUAACUCUUCCCCAACACAUAAACAGAAGAAGAAUAAUACGCUUCGACGCACUCAAACUCAUGUCCUCCUCCAGUGAUAACAAUGUUCAUGUCAAUCGGGUUAAGACUUAAUUAACACAGUCAGCAAAUAAAUAGAUUAAUUGAAAAAAUAAAACAAUAAAUACAAUGUUUCAUAAAUUACCCUUGACUUUCUUUUUCAAAACAAUAAACAAAUUAAAUAGUAUCAACAAUUAAAGAAAUAAUAUAGCAAAUACCAUUUAUAUCAAAUUUGAUAAUAAGCAAGCCAUUAGGUACAAAUGUUUUAUACGAGAAGUCCUGCCUACAAAAAUUCAAAGAAAAAUGUUUUAUUGGUAAAUUUCUUUUUUUCAUGUUAUUUUAAGAUUUUUUUGUUUAUGUUAAUAUUUUAUGUAUUUUAAUAUUUCUAAUAUAUUUUAUAAAUUAAAGCAAAAUCCGGAGAAAUAUAUUGAAGACAUCAACUUCCAGAUUACUCCAAAAAAAAAUGUAUUUUUAUAAUAAAAACUAUUAUAAUUUCAAAAAUUAAAAAUGCUGAAGUUAAUACUACAAUUUAAUUCGAUAAAAAAUUAGUUAACAAAAGGACUUGAAAUCGUAAAUCCUCAAUCAAAAUCAAUUGAAAGUUUAGGCACCGAUUUCAAAAGUAUGCCAUGAAAGAUAUGAAAACUAACAAAAGGAAAGACAAUUAAUUCAUUUGACAUCACCCAAAAAGAAAAGAUAAAAGUUAUUAAGAAACAUGGACGAGAAUCCAUUCUCUGGCUUCAUUUGGAUGGGCGAUUGAUUAUAGUGCGAUGCGUUUAACUUACUUUUUGUCUCACGCUACAGUAUUGCUACAGUAUUUAAUCUUACCGCCACCGCUGUUUUUACACUAACUGCAGCUAAACGCACCACCCAUCCAAACUCACCCCCAGUUUGCUGUCAAGAACCAUGUUUCAGUUCUCCAGCAGACCAGUCAACUAAUUGGAAUUGUUUCCAAGUUGGUAGAGCAAGAGCGGCUCCCAUGAGGGCUAAGGGUUCAUGAUUUGAUAAACAUCUUUUACUUCAUGAAAAGAAACUGCCCAAAUACGAGUUUACGUACCAUUUAAUUUUUGGAAGACUCAUUGGUGAAUAUUUCUUGAAUAUAGAGUCUGUUCAAAUUUGAUUACCUGUUUUAAUUAUUUUUGACAUUUUCGAGCGGCAAGUUGGCUACUAACAGAAGAAAAAAGACAAAUUUGUUGUUUUGGCAUCACCCAAAAAUCAAAUUGAAUUAUUAGUAUUAAACAACACAUGAAAUGUAAACAUGCAUUUGCAUAUCCCUUCUCAGUUUUUGCAGUCAAGAAUCGUGUCUCAGCCUCUCUAUCGCCGCCCUCGGUGUUCCCACAUGGCAGCCAUUGCUCCAAUCGGUCCUCAGCUCUCACAACCAUCCCUUUCUCACCCACCGCCAUCGAAGCUAACGACCGUUAAAGCACUAUCCGAAUCGUCCGGACUUUCUUCCAUCCCUUCCAUUUACACCUUCCCAAAACAACCCAACCACGAACCAGUUUCAGACACGAAAGAACCAAUUCCCACCAUCGAUUUCUCCCUCCUCAUCUCUAGUAAUCCCGAUGAACGGUCUAAAACCAUCCGAGAACUUGGAAAAGCCUGCGGGGACUGGGGCUUCUUCAUGGUACAAUACAUAUAUACAUAUAUAUACAUAGUUAUGAUUUUCAAAGAAUUUUAGAUUUUUGAUAAAAUGAGCAUUAUCAGGUGACCAAUCAUGGGGUGCCGGAGAGGAUGAUGAAGGCAAUGAUAGAGGUUUGUAGGGAAUUUUUCGAGCUAACAGAGGAAGAAAAGGGAGAAUGUGAAGGGAAACAUGUAUUGGAUCCUAUAAGAUAUGGGACCAGUUUCAACCCAUCAGUGGAUAAAAUUUUGUAUUGGAGAGACCAUCUCAAGAUUUUUCAGCAUCCUGCCUUUCACUCACCCAGCAAUCCCCCUUCCUUCAGGUUUUUUCUUUUUAUACCAUUAGAUCGGUUUCAGAAAACAAAUUACGUAGCAUUGUUUAAUGAAAUAUUAAAGAUAACAUAUCCAUAUUUUUUCUAGUACAGUAUUAAGAGUGAAAAUGGGAGUAAACACUAUUUAAAUUGUGUCAAAAGAUCGUUCCGUUCAAAUUAAAACAAAAUAUCUUUUAUAAUUAUAAACUGUAAUAUCUGGCAUACAACUAUCAUGUAAUUUUUUUAUAAUAUUUUACAAAAGAAGUGUACAAAAAGAUGAAAUAAUUUAAUAUAAUUUUAAUUAAUAUAUACAUAUAUCUGACGAGAAAAAAAUUUUAAUAUUAAAGAUAAUAUAAUUAAAUUUCAUAAGUACGGAUCGAUAUCAUUCAUAAGUUUUUAAAUUUUUAUUUAAAAAUUAUAUUAAAAAUAGAAUUUGGACUAAUCCAUAUUUAAUAAAAUUGAACCAAAUAGGCAAGUAGAAGCCAUAUAUACAUAAUUGGAAUAAAAAUUAAGGAAAUCAUUGUACUAGAUCUCUCAAAAUAAAUAAAAUAGUUUAAUCCUUAUAUUAUUAAAAAGUGAGCAAUUUAGUUAUUGCUGCCAUUAAUUGCUCUUGUUCAUUCACUUUCUAAAUAGUACUGUGUCUGAAUUACUUAGUAAUUAUUCUAACAUAAUUCGAUAAUAACAUCCAUUAAUCAUAGCUCAUGUUCUCAUACAUAUUGGGUGUAUAUAUAUAUAUGAUAUUGAUAUAAUCAAUUCAUCUAACAUCAGUUUUGUCCCAACUUUUUAUUUUUCUUUUGGCAUAAGAGAAAUUGCGUUAGAAUACAGCAAAAGAACCCGAGGAGUAAUGAAAGAAAUAGUGAGAGGAAUAUCAGAAAGCUUGGGGUUAGAAGACAAAUACAUUGAGAAGGCCUCAAAUCUGGAAAAUUGCCUUCAGAUUAUGAUAGCAAACUUGUAUCCAUCAUGUCCACAGCCAGAACUCGCCAUGGGGUUGCCCGCUCACUCCGACCAUGGUCUUUUGACCCUUCUCAUCCAAACGACACCGUGGGGCUUCAAGUGCUACACAAAGACAAAUGGGUCAAUAUCCACCCCAUCCCCAAUUCAUUUCUAGCCAACAUUGGGGACCAUAUUGAGGUACAACUCCCAAAUUCUGCUUUUUUAUCUUCAACUUUUGGAUUUACUCACUCUACUUUUUGAUUUAAUUUCAUCUUUCUAUUUCUAGGAUAUAAUUAGUUAAUUAAGUUGUUUAACACCGUCAACUAUUUCGUUUAAAUGUUGAUUUGAAAAUUUCCCACAUCAUCAUGUUAAUAUAGAUUUAGUAUAGUAGAAGGACCAAAUCCAUUCUUUGACCUUUCAUUUUAUAAUUGGUUUUCAAUUUUUUUUCCAAAAUUGAU
rnacentral:lncRNA from 1 species